GACAGAGGGUGCAAACGUUGUUCGGAAUUACUGGGCGUAAAGCGCGUGUAGGCGGCUCUGACAAGUGAGGUGUGAAAGCCCUGGGCUCAACCCAGGAAGUGCACUUCAAACUGUCGAGCUUGAAUGCUGGAGAGGAAAGCGGAAUUCUCGGUGUAGAGGUGAAAUUCGUAGAUAUCGAGAGGAACACCCGUGGCGAAGGCGGCUUUCUGGACAGCGAUUGACGCUGAGACGCGAAAGCGUGGGGAGCAAACAGG
rnacentral:rRNA from 1 species